CCCUUUCAGCCAAGACAUCUUUUGUAAGAUGAAGUUUAUAAACCAGCUCUCUAAUAACUAAAGAAAGUUCGCUUUUCUUUUUAAACAACCACUUCGUAUGUACCACCUGAAAAAACUCCAUAGAAAAAUGUAUCGUUUUCUCACUAUCUUCAAGUAAAUAAUCAAACUCAAAAAAUAACACUUCACCAUUAAUAGCUUCAUUAUUUCCAGCUAUGACAUGGAGGUUAGAUAAAUU
rnacentral:misc_RNA from 1 species